rnacentral:misc_RNA from 1 species
UUAAGUUCAGCGGGUAGUCCUACCUGAUUUGAGGUCAAACGUCAAUGAGGAAGACGCCCCUAGAGGCGUCGACGCAUUAGAGGCACGGGACCAUUCUGUCUUGCACUUCGGCGAACGGCGAUCAUUAUCACGCCAAAGGCCUUGUCAUGCAAAGUCGAAAGUCGACCGCGAGCCGAUUCAUUUAAGAGGAGCCCGAGUCC